rnacentral:rRNA from 1 species
GACGAACGCUGGCGGCGUGCUUAACACAUGCAAGUCGAACGGAAAGGCCCCUUUGGGGGUACUCGAGUGGCGAACGGGUGAGUAACACGUGAGUAACCUGCCCUUGACUUCGGGAUAACUUCAGGAAACUGGGGCUAAUACCGGAUAGGAAUCCUUGCUGCAUGGUGGGGGUUGGAAAGCUUCGGCGGUUUUGGAUGGACUCGCGGCCUAUCAGCUUGUUGGUGGGGUAGUGGCUUACCAAGGCUUUGACGGGUAGCCGGCCUGAGAGGGCGACCGGCCACAUUGGGACUGAGAGACGGCCCAGACUCCUACGGGAGGCAGCAGUGGGGAAUAUUGCACAAUGGGCGGAAGCCUGAUGCAGCAACGCCGCGUGCGGGAUGACGGCCUUCGGGUUGUAAACCGCUUUCAGCAGGGGCGAAGCUUGUGGUGACGGUACCUGCAGAAGAAGCACCGGCUAACUACGUG